rnacentral:rRNA from 1 species
AUACGGAGGAUCCGAGCGUUAUCCGGAUUUAUUGGGUUUAAAGGGUGCGCAGGCGGCCAUUUAAGUCAGCGGUUAAAUCGUGGGGCUCAACCCCAUUCUGCCGAUGAUACUGGGUGGCUUGAUUGCGGUCGAGGUUGGCGGAAUUCGUUGUGUAGCGGUGAAAUGCAUAGAUAUGACGAAGAACACCGAUUGCGUAGGCAGCUGACCAGACCGCAAAUGACGCUCAUGCACGAAAGUGCGGGGAUCGAACAGGAUUAGAUACCCUGGUAGUCCGCACAGUAAACGAUGAAUACUUGUUUUCGGCGAUAUAAUGUCGGAGGCAAAGCGAAAGCGAUAAGUAUUCCACCUGGGGAGUACGCCGGCAACGGUGAAACUCAAAGGAAUUGACGGGG